CACGUUUGAUGCCCUACUUCAUGCUAUGCUGAUAUCAAAUUCGUCCCCUUCGGACUGUCGGUACGGAAAUGUGAAUGUGAACGGAAAUAUGGGUACGUGCGGACGCUGGGCGUCUCGAUGGUUGCCAGGAUCAAAUUCGUCCCUUGUAUGGUGAUCGUGCCUCCCGGGGCACUGUUGUGGGCUCGUGUGGCCAUCUUUCUCCACUCGUCGUGCUGUUUGUGCGAUGUAUGGGGAUCGAUACGCCUACUUGCCUCUGCAGUGUGUACGUCUUGCGCGUGAGUGGCUAUAGGCAUCAGUCCGCAUGGGGAUUCUCUGUUUCGGCAGUUGUUGAUGUCCUACUUCAUGUUAUGCUCGGAGGUAUUCGAAUCUCCUGGUCGGAUUUUGUUGCUUGUGCCUCGUACCUCAGUGUCGGCAUCAGCAUUGU
rnacentral:misc_RNA from 1 species